rnacentral:tRNA from 1 species
GCGCCAUUAGUUCAGAUGGAUAGAACAUUGGCCUCCGAAGCCAAAGAUCAGGCGUUCGAGUCGCCUAUGGCGUACCA